rnacentral:sRNA from 1 species
UUCGAACAGGGAUAGUAAUGGAAAGCCCACAGCCGUAAUGACUUUAGCUUUACGGCGAGGACUUGUAAUGAAUAGCCCGAUCUUGC